UUGCCCACUCAGAGCUGUCGUGCCCUGCAGUGUCAACACAGGGGGGCAGAGCACGUUCUCUCUAAAACACAGUGUGGAGCUCCCCCCUCCUCCCUGUAUCCUGUCGUGAGGCACAGCU